rnacentral:tRNA from 1 species
AAGUUGGUUAAUUUAUGAUGGAAACUAGGAAACACAUAGUCUCAAAAUGUGAAUUCGGGGGUUCGACUCCCCACCAACUAA